rnacentral:tRNA from 1 species
UGGGUCAGUAGCUCAGGGGAAAGAGCAACUGCCUUCUAAGCAGUCGGUCGUAGGUUCGAUUCCUACCUGACCCGU